rnacentral:sRNA from 1 species
UAAACUUUUUUGUUAAAUCACACACAUUCCGACACAUGUUCCGGGGUGCCCUCCAAGUUAGGGUCGGAUGCAUGGGGGAUGUGGAGGCCUAAC